AUUGAACGCUGGCGGCAGGCCUAACACAUGCAAGUCGAGCGGAUGAAGGGAGCUUGCUCCUGGAUUCAGCGGCGGACGGGUGAGUAAUGCCUAGGAAUCUGCCUGGUAGUGGGGGAUAACGUCCGGAAACGGGCGCUCAUACCGCAUACGUCCUGAGGGAGAAAGUGGGGGUUCUUCGGACCUCACGCUAUCAGAUGAGCCUAGGCCGGAUUAGCUAGUUGGUGGGGUAAAGGCCUACCAAGGCGACGAUCCGUAACUGGUCUGAGAGGAUGAUCAGUCACACUGGAACUGAGACACGGUCCAGACUCCUACGGGAGGCAGCAGUGGGGAAUGUGGGACAAUGGGCGAAAGUCUGAUCCAGCCAUGCCGCGUGUGUGAAGAAGGUCUUCGGAUUGUAAAGCACUUUAAGUUGGGAGGAAGGGCAGUAAGUUAAUACCUUGCUGUUUUGACGUUACCAACAGAAUAAGCACCGGCUAACUUCGUG
rnacentral:rRNA from 1 species